CGACGUGAGUAACCUGCCUUGGAGUGGGGAAUAACACAUCGAAAGAUGUGCUAAUACCGCAUAAUGCAGUUGGGCCGCAUGGCUCUGACUGCCAAAGAUUUAUCGCUCUGGGAUGGACUCGCGUCUGAUUAGCUGGUUGGCGGGGUAACGGCCCACCAAGGCGACGAUCGGUAGCCGGACUGAGAGGUUGACCGGCCACAUUGGGACUGAGACACGGCCCAGACUCCUACGGAAGGCAGCAG
rnacentral:rRNA from 1 species